UUUUGCGCAAUGGCCGCAAGGCUGACGCAGCAACGCCGCGUGGGUGAAGAAGGCCUUCGGGUCGUAAAGCCCUGUCAGGUGGGAAGAACGACACGGGGAGGAAUAUGCUCUGUGAGUGACGGUACCACCAGAGGAAGCACCGGCUAACUCCGUGCCAGCAGCCGCGGUAAUACGGAGGGUGCGAGCGUUAUUCGGAAUUACUGGGCGUAAAGCGCGUGUAGGCGGCCAACCAAGUCUGAUGUGAAAGCCCUGGGCUUAACCUGGGAAGUGCAUUGGAAACUGGCUGGCUUGAGUACUGGAGAGGAAGGGGGAAUUCCCGGUGUAGAGGUGAAAUUCGUAGAGAUCGGGAGGAAUACCAGUGGCGAAGGCGCCCUUCUGGACGGUUACUGACGCUGAGACGCGAAAGCGUGGGGAGCAAACAGG
rnacentral:rRNA from 1 species